rnacentral:lncRNA from 1 species
GAGCACUUUGCCUUUGCCUGCAGGAGAAACGCUGUGCCUGGCGAUGUGUUUGCUGUCUGCUGUGCCAACUAAUGGAGCCUAAUUACUCUGGCCGACAGACAGCAGCCGUCAAGCGCAACGCGAAUCUCUGGGCCAAUAAAAAUGUAUUAGACACAACACACAUUCCCGGACUGUCAUUUAUUCUUUGUCAAAUAAACCAUAUGCUGCUGCUGCCUGCUGCUGCCUAAGCCUUUGCCUCAUCCAUCCUGCAGCAGACGCCUCUGUACACUCAUCUGCAAAGCCUUCUCCCAGCACUUGACCAGCAGGAAGAAAUAUACACAUUUCAUGGAUACCCACAGCACUCUCCUCCAGUGGUGGAGGUACGUGAGACGCAAAGGCCUGCCGGUUGGUCUGGGCAUUCCGGCAGUUCAACAGAAAUUUAGUUCACAGAAAAUCGAAACUGAGAACUGACACGAAAAUCAUUUCAAUCAACU